GACGAACGCUGGCGGCGUGCUUAACACAUGCGAGUCGAACGGAAAGGCCCUGCUUUUGUGGGGUGCUCGAGUGGCGAACGGGUGAGUAACACGUGAGUAACCUGCCCUUGACUUUGGGAUAACUUCAGGAAACUGGGGCUAAUACCGGAUAGGAGCUCCUGCUGCAUGGUGGGGGUUGGAAAGUUUCGGCGGUUGCGGAUGGACUCGCGGCUUAUCAGCUUGUUGGUGGGGUAGUGGCUUACCAAGGCUUUGACGGGUAGCCGGCCUGAGAGGGUGACCGGCCACAUUGGGACUGAGAUACGGCCCAGACUCCUACGGGAGGCAGCAGUGGGGAAUAUUGCACAAUGGGCGGAAGCCUGAUGCAGCAACGCCGCGUGCGGGAUGACGGCCUUCGGGUUGUAAACCGCUUUCGCCUGUGACGAAGCGUGAGUGACGGUAAUGGGUAAAGAAGCACCGGCUAACUACGUG
rnacentral:rRNA from 1 species